UACGUAGGUGGCAAGCGUUAUCCGGAUUUACUGGGUGUAAAGGGCGUGUAGGCGGUUUUGUAAGUCAGAUGUGAAAUCUCCGGGCUUAACUCGGAAACUGCAUCUGAAACUAUAAAACUUGAGUACUGGAGAGGAUAGUGGAAUUCCUAGUGUAGCGGUAAAAUGCGUAGAUAUUAGGAGGAACACCAGUGGCGAAGGCGACUAUCUGGACAGUAACUGACGCUGAGGCGCGAAAGCGUGGGGAGCAAACAGGAUUAGAUACCCCUGUAGUCCCU
rnacentral:rRNA from 1 species